rnacentral:tRNA from 1 species
GGAGAAGUGGCCGAGUGGCUGAAGGCGCCCGCCUGCUAAGUGGGUAUGGGGGGUCAACCUCCAUCGAGGGUUCGAAUCCCUCCUUCUCCG